rfam:Gossypium hirsutum cultivar TM-1 unplaced genomic scaffold scaffold4608.1, whole genome shotgun sequence
UGUUAAAAUUUUCAUUUAUUUCUACUAUUAAAAACUACCGUGGUUGCUAGAAUAACCAAAAAAUUACACGUGGCAUUCCACGUGUAUCUCAUUCUGACGUACAAUGAUUAAUUUUUAAAUGUAGAAAUGAAUAAGAUUUUUAACA